rnacentral:rRNA from 1 species
UCGAACGGCAGCACGGGUGCUUGCACCUGGUGGCGAGUGGCGAACGGGUGAGUAAUACAUCGGAACGUGUCCUGUAGUGGGGGAUAGCCCGGCGAAAGCCGGAUUAAUACCGCAUACGAUCUACGGAUGAAAGCGGGGGAUCUUCGGACCUCGCGCUAUAGGGGCGGCCGAUGGCGGAUUAGCUAGUUGGUGAGGUAAAGGCUCACCAAGGCGACGAUCCGUAGCUGGUCUGAGAGGACGACCAGCCACACUGGGACUGAGACACGGCCCAGACUCCUACGGGAGGCAGCAGUGGGGAAUUUUGGACAAUGGGCGAAAGCCUGAUCCAGCAAUGCCGCGUGUGUGAAGAAGGCCUUCGGGUUGUAAAGCACUUUUGUCCGGAAAGAAAUCCUUGAUCCUAAUAUGGUCGGGGGAUGACGGUACCGGAAGAAUAAGCACCGGCUAACUACGUGCCAGCAGCCGCGGUAAUACGUAGGGUGCAAGCGUUAAUCGGAAUUACUGGGCGUAAAGCGUGCGCAGGCGGUGAUGUAAGACCGAUGUGAAAUCCCCGGGCUCAACCUGGGAACUGCAUUGGUGACUGCAUCGCUUGAGUAUGGCAGAGGGGGGUAGAAUUCCACGUGUAGCAGUGAAAUGCGUAGAGAUGUGGAGGAAUACCGAUGGCGAAGGCAGCCCCCUGGGUCAAUACUGACGCUCAUGCACGAAAGCGUGGGGAGCAAACAGGAUUAGAUACCCUGGUAGUCCACGCCCUAAACGAUGUCAACUGGUUGUCGGGUCUUCAUUGACUUGGUAACGUAGCUAACGCGUGAAGUUGACCGCCUGGGGAGUACGGUCGCAAGAUUAAAACUCAAAGGAAUUGACGGGGACCCGCACA